AAUUAAACACUGAAGAGAAGAGUAGUGACUAACAAUCCAAUCCAGAGAGCUUCAGGUGGUGAGAAGAAGUGUUUUGAAGGUCAUGAAGAUGAGCUCUGAGUCAGAUUGACGGGUCAACAUUGGCUGGUCAAUCCGGUAGCAACCGAUAUAUUGCAGGGUAUUUCCAAUUCCUUUGGAGUACCUACUAAGGUUGCUAAUGUAAAUUAGUAAUAAACACAGGGUGGCACCACGAACGCUUUCGUCCCUCGA
rnacentral:ncRNA from 1 species